rnacentral:rRNA from 1 species
GACGAACGCUGGCGGCGUGCUUAACACAUGCAAGUCGAACGGAAAGGCCCUGCUUGCAGGGUGCUCGCGUGGCGAACGGGUGUGUAACACGUGGGUGAUCUGCCCCUUACUUUGUGAUAAGCCUUCGAAACUGGGUCUCAUACUGGAUAUGACCAUGCCGUCGGUGUUGUGGUGGUUAGAUUAGUUGCGGGGGGGGAUGGGCUCGCGGCCUAUCAGCUUGUUGGUGGGGUAGUGGCUUACCAAGGCGUUGACGGGUAGCCGGGAUGAGAGGGUGGCCGGCAAGAUGGGGAAUGAGAGACGGCCAAGACUCCGAGGGGAAGCAGCAGGGGGGAAUAUAGAACAAGGGGCGGAAGCAUGAAGCAGCAACGCGGGGGGCGGGAUGACGGUCGGCGGGUUGUAAACCGCCAGCGCCUGUGAAGAAGCGGGAGUGACGGUAAUGGGAAAAGAAGCACCGGCUAACUACGUG